GUUUGAUUUCUGUUUGCAUUUUGUCUGACUUGAUCCGUAGAUUAUGUUUGUGUUGAUGUCUACGUAAGUGAAAAUACACCUGAUGAUGGCCAGUAAUGGCCGAAACAUGUAGUUUAAAAAAAGAAAGACAAAGAACUACAAAUAAAUUGUUGCAUUUAUGAUGGUAUUUACUUCUUCUUGCUUUCUAGAAUGUUUUUGAUGAACUUCCAACUCCACAUGGUGAGGAGCAGCAAUUUUGCUGUGAUGUGUGCAAUAAGUCAUUCAUUCAAGAGAUUUAUCUGAAUGUACAUCAGUGCAUACAUAGUGAUGAGCGACCUACCUGUGACGUGUGUCUAAGUCAUUCAGUGAGCAGAGUGGUCUGAAGAGGCAUCUGCGCAUACAUAGUGGGGAGCGGCCAUUUUACUGUAAUGUGUGUAGUAAGUCAUUCGUUCAGCAGAGUCAUCUGAAGUCACAUAAACUCAUACACAUUGGUGUGCGGCCAUUUUGGUGUGACAUAUGUAAGAAGUCAUUCAUUUAUCGGGCUCAUCUGCAGAUUCAUCACCGCAUACAUACUGACUGUAGCCUGGUUCAAAUGCAGCUUGUCUCCACCAAUGAACUAAUAUGUGCUUAGUUCACAAGAGACAGCUCAGAGUUGGUGUCCAUGAGGUGACAAUUUUCUGCUGGAUGUUUCAUACAAGUAUAACUCACGUUAUAGAGUAAUGUAUACUCAGAUUCAUUAUCAUAUGAUUUAAAUAAACUACUAUAAAUUAAUAUAAAUAUGAUUUCAAAAACCCAAAUAUCUUCAGAUUGCAUACAAUUUCCAUAGCCUUGUUACUGCCUGUCACAUCUCCCACCCUAACAGGCAGCCAUGUUCUCUUCCUGUUAUUUCAUUUGCACGAAGAAGUUCAUCUUAGGCACGUUCUGUGUGUGUUAGAUUGUGGCAGAGCAUGUCUACACACAACCUGAGCUUGCUUGCUUACUUUGACAGCAUUGGACAGAAGUCAAAUGCACACAAAAUUUUGCUAGAAAAACCUGAAUGAAUGAGUUGCUUGAACGACCUAGGAAUAUACAUAUGGUAUUAUUAAAA